UGGAAGAAAUGAGUAGCAGGCUAUUAAAUAUUUAACUUCCCAAAUUUAAUUUGCUAAAUCUCCUGGGAGGAGUUUUCAGAUCGAUUGCAGUAUGCUUUGGGAAUAGGUCCAGGUCAGCUGGGAUUUUAGCCCCACAUACCCUUAUUCUGAGGCAGAACAUACAGCGAUGACUGUUUUGACUUCAUUUUCAGCUCUCCUUUUUUAGAAACAGUGGCUUGGCUCCCCAACUGGUCAUAAAUCCAGGUCUCUGCAGUGGAUCUAUUCUGAUUUACACCAGAGGAAAAUCUGGCCUCUAGCUGAGAAGAAAUGGGCUGCCAGUUUAAUUACUUCAUCCCAGGUUAAAAUCUAACAAACCCUUUUGGAAACCUUGCCACAUUUCCUCCAGUCAAGAACAAAUAGUAUUUUGCCAGGAAUUCACCAGCCAUCCAAGCCAGCUGAUGGCUCCA
rnacentral:lncRNA from 1 species